ACAUAUCACGAAGUUCAUGAUCCAUGUGACACUGGAAGAACACAAGUUAUGGAGAGAUCCUUUUAAGACUGCCACAAUAAUUAGCCUAUUGUCCAAAACUCAAACAAGUGAUGUUCUAUUUCAUCACAGUGAAGCAUGGCUAGAUUGAGCCGUAAAUUAGCAACAAGUGUUGAAAGGUUGCAUAGUAAAUGAUACAUCUAAUGCCUAAAAUUAGGGAUAAGCUGACCAGAAGGGGUGAGGAGGAGAAGAAGAAAAGAAAGAAAAUUGCAGCUGACCACAUCUGUGUUCUCACUCCAUAAUUUAAUUAUAGGAAGAUGGUGGACGCAGGUUGUGUUUGGCUCAUGGAACAC